rnacentral:lncRNA from 1 species
GCGACCACCAGCCCGGUGACCACCAGCACCUCUGAGGUGCGGCGGCCGCCUGUGGAGUUUCAUCCCGCCCCAAAAGCGACUGGCACCACCUCACUCAGGAAUAACUCGAUAACUUCUUUUUUGUCUGUUUUUGCCCCCCAGGGGCAAUCCCCACGACACCACACUCCCCGCCGGGUCGCUUUUCCCCCAUGGGCAGGGCGAGGCAGGAGCAGCCGCUCCCUCAAACCCGCAGCUUCCCCCUUCUUCUUCCUCUUUUUUUUUUUUUUUUUUUUUUCUUCGUCUCUUGGUUUAAACCCCUCCGGGCUUGAGUUGUGGGUGAGGAGCCUGCGGGAAAGUGUCAGGAAACCAAAACAACCCAAGAAAUCGCCGUGCUCCUUACCGCUCAGCAGUCCCCUUGCCGGCGCGCCCCCUGCUCCUUCCCCGCCCCGCCACGUCGGCAGCAGCGGGGGGAGGAGGAAGCGAUGGCCGGGCGGCCAUGGGCCGGCUCUGCUGUGCUGUGCUGUGCCGGGCCGCUGGGAGGAGGGAGGGCUCUUCCCUCAGUCCUUCUCCCUCACGUCCCUCCAAAGCGGCUGCCUGUUGUGCCCAGGGCUGGAGGCUAUGCCGGCAGCACUGCCCCGCCGCAGGCAGAGUCACCCCAGCCACCAUUACCAACCCCUUACAGCCCCGCUUGUCUCAGGAGGCAGAAAGGGGCUGAAAUAUGCGGCUGUAGGAUUACACUGCUGGGAGUUGGCCUUUCAGGUGACACCCUGCACCUUGGCUGCAUAUCUAGGAAAUGCAGCCGAAAGUAGCUGGGAGGUGCGUACACAAACUUCCAGCAAAGCAUACCCUCUUGCAGUUCCAGGAUUUGUUGCGGCAUCGUUUCUGUCACCAGACUUCCUUUGCUGGAAAAAAAAAAAAAAUUGCUGUUGGUACAGGAAGCAUAACAAAACUUCUUAUGAAUCACUGAGGAGAGCUGCUGUAGGAGGUCAUGAAGUAAAACCUCAGUUCUCAGAAGCGUGCCUCACAAAUGAGGAUAAAGCUCCAUGACUUAGCAAAACAAUCUGAAGUAUCCCAUUAAGGUAGGUGAUAGCAGAACACGUGCUCGUAUUUCUAAACAAUAAGCUUAUUUUUAGGUGUUUCAAUGAGAAUGUAAGUAUCAGGGCAUGCUGGAAGUUCUGGUGUCUUUUAGGUUGAUUAAUGUGUAGAUGUAUUUAUUAGGAUUCACAAGUUCUUUUUAAGGGAGCUUGUGAUAGAGUAAAGGCAUUGUUUUUGUAGGAAUCAUAAUAGAUGAAGCUCAAUAGUUGGGGGUUUGUUUUUCCUUCUCAUGACUGGUAAUUUUGACUAUAAAAUAGAUCUUGCAGUAAUUAGUCAGUAUUGCAAUAGGAAGUUGCUACUCAAGGAUGAAAGAACAUUGUAAAUGUGUGUAUAUGUCUGUCUGUGAGAUAGGACGUUGUAUGAGUUUCCCGAGUUCCUAAUUGGCUUCACUGAAUUUAGCACUUGUGUUUACUAGUUUUCUUUCUCUUUCACUUUUCAGUAAUUCAUUUUGCUUGUAUUUUCUCACUGCGGAAAUGUUGCAAAUGGUUUUGGAACAGAAAAAUUAGUGCAGAAAAUGAGCAAUAAACAAAGAUAGAACACUUCUACUCA